CAAAUCUCGAGCACUGUCAGUCAUGCAUAGAGCUCAGCUACUUGGUGUGACAGUCAUUACAAGACGGGAGUUUUACAGGCACUUUAAUGCUGUCCUCAAACAGUUACUUGCUGACAAAUCAACAGUGUGUGGUCAGGGAUCACUCAAAGAAACCAGAAUUUUGCAGCUUGUUUUAUUCAGAACGAGGGUGGUUUCUGCUGUGUUGUUGGUACAUCUUUGCCUUCACCAGGACAGAACAAAGUGUUUCUUGAAGAGAUGAUGAAUCAACAUCAGAGUCUGCCCAAGCGUAAAGGACCAGUGCAAAACACUUUCUGACUUCCUGUGGCACCAACAGAAGAGAGAAAAGUGUCUUAGCAACUGUCUGGAGAAUGGGAACACAGAGCAAAGCCCUGCCUUCAGCUUUCCUGCCCACGCUGCAGUACCUGG
ensembl:lncRNA